UCAGUGAAAUUGAACUCGCUGUGAAGAUGCAGUGUACCCGCGGCAAGACGGAAAGACCCCGUGAACCUUUACUAUAGCUUGACACUGAACAUUGAGCCUUGAUGUGUAGGAUAGGUGGGAGGCUUUGAAGCGUGGACGCCAGUCUGCGUGGAGCCGACCUUGAAAUACCACCCUUUAAUGUUUGAUGUUCUAACGUGGACCCGUAAUCCGGGUUGCGGACAGUGUCUGGUGGGUAGUUUGACUGGGGCGGUCUCCUCCUAAAGAGUAACGGAGGAGCACGAAGGUUGGCUAAUCCUGGUCGGACAUCAGGAGGUUAGUGCAAUGGCAUAAGCCAGCUUGACUGCGAGCGUGACGGCGCGAGCAGGUGCGAAAGCAGGUCAUAGUGAUCCGGUGGUUCUGAAUGGAAGGGCCAUCGCUCAACGGAUAAAAGGUACUCCGGGGAUAACAGGCUGAUACCGCCCAAGAGUUCAUAUCGACGGCGGUGUUUGGCACCUCGAUGUCGGCUCAUCACAUCCUGGGGCUGAAGUAGGUCCCAAGGGUAUGGCUGUUCGCCAUUUAAAGUGGUACGCGAGCUGGGUUUAGAACGUCGUGAGACAGUUCGGUCCCUAUCUGCCGUGGGCGCUGGAGAACUGAGGGGGGCUGCUCCUAGUACGAGAGGACCGGAGUGGACGCAUCACUGGUGUUCGGGUUGUCAUGCCAAUGGCACUGCCCGGUAGCUAAAUGCGGAAGAGAUAAGUGCUGAAAGCAUCUAAGCACGAAACUUGCCCCGA
rnacentral:rRNA from 1 species